AAUGGAUGCUAGGUAGGUCAGUGUUUUGGAUUAGCUUUGGCUUGUGUCUCCUAGACUUUGCUAUAAGUAAUUCAUCUACUGUGGCUAGAUUAUUAUUUUAUUUUGCCACCUCCUCCAUUAAAUCCUCCUCUGGUCCCUGAUUUUCUGGAUUAGAAGUCACUUCCUAAUCAGGUUUUAGGCUGCCCAAAGACUUUUGAGAAAAGCCUUGCAAAAUCUUCUCUCGUUCUUGUCCUUGGAAUCUAAAUGGUUCUCUGCCUCCCAGAUUCCUGCCCUUACUCCUGACUUAUUUCUCUUUGUCCUGAUUUGUCAGAAUUUAAUUUUAUGAUCAGUGUUCAUGGCUGAAUAUUCUUCAGUGAGUCUAGAUGUCUUUGCCCAAAACCAGCCUCUUGAAUAUAUUUCAUAAU
rnacentral:lncRNA from 1 species